GCCAACUGCAGCAGCAGCGGGCCCAGCCUGCCCCGCAACAGCCAGCGCGGCUCCUGGAGGGAAACGAGCAAGGCGGCCCCGCAGGUGUGGCGCGGCCCUGGGAGGGCGCGUGCGAGCGCUGCUUUGUUUGGUGCCCGCACAGCCCCGGGCUCCAGGCCUGAGCGCCAACCUUCCCGAGCUGAGUCACGGCUGCAGAGCCCGAGGGCGGCCAUACGGCCCCGCCCGGAAGGAUGAGGCCCCUUCCUGAAGCUGGCGAGUCCGAUGCGGUGGCAGGGACAAAAGCCAGGGGAAGGUGGCUUCUAUUCUACAAAGCCCUUUAGGGAAGGGGGGAGUCAGGCCGCCCUCACCCAGUGCAGGUCCGUCACGAUGGUCACCCAGAGCACUCACGCAGAAAGCCAGCUUGCAGCCGCCAGCCCUGAGGAUGCCGCCCCCAAAGGGCUCAUUGCUCUAAUCACCCGUCCAGGGGCUUGAGGCAAAGCUCCAAGACAGACCUGUAGCAGCAUGGCCCAAAAAGUUCCUCUGCUGCCCCAGUCCCAUACCUGCCUGAGGUACGGGGGUUCAGGCUGAGUCGGCUGACCUGGAGUCAUCUGGAAGCCUUGUCAGAAAUGCAGAUUCUGCAGUGCUGUUCCCAGAGGAUGAGAUUCAGCAGAACUGGGUGUUGGAUAUUAUAUGAAGAGAUUUGCAAGUGUUAUUUUACGUAAUUCGCACUUUACAAAGGAGGAAACUGCAGCGCAGGUACCAAGGUUGCCCCAUCUCGGUCCAGGCCUGCUCCCGGCGAGCCACUCGCCCUUGACCACGCCUCCUCUCUCCUGAUUGGCUGUCAGGCAUGAGUCAUUAAGCUCACUAAGACAAUAAUCAAAGACCUAUAAAACCGUGAACUUCUUGAGACAAUGAGGAUGCCUCUAACAGACUUGGGAAGAAAUCCUGCACAAAGAGCUGGGGAAAAAAGGGAAGAAAAGCACAUAGAAUACUCCUUCAAGGCAGGCAUUGGCAGACCUUCCACCGUGCACCAGGCUCUGUGCUAAGAUUCACCCUGGAGUAACCCUGCCUCUGGGGGUGAAGUUGCUAUAUCUGGCUGCGUUUUGGCCAGCCGACCCUCUAGGCAGCCCUUAAUUCUUGCUUCUCAAACUUACUUCCAAGGACAGAGAAAGAUGACCACUGCCCUCACCCCACUAAAGAAGCCCCAGCACUUAGCAAGCACUUAUGGCCCAGAGCAGACUGUCUCUACUUCAUUUCACUCUCCACACCCAGACUUGGACCACACUUGGAAAAGAACCAGCCAGUCCUGGAGGCUGCAUAUUGUGGAUAGCAGGACUCCACUCACAUCUCAAAGCUCCUCCCUGCCCAUUCCCAUGGUCCCUCCAGCCCUUGGGCAAUACUACCAAUAAGAAGGAGAAAUGAGCUGGAUUUCACUUCCUUUGGAGCAGGUGUGAAUAAACAGAAUUGUCCCAAACUUGGGCAGCAGAAGUGGGGAAAGAAGAAAGGCAACCGGCCAGGCGCGGUGGCUCACGCCUGUAAUCCCAGCAUUUGGGGAGGC
rnacentral:lncRNA from 1 species